GCCCUCACCUCUGCAGCACAUGUGCUAAAAAUGGAAUUAUACAGAGAAGACUGGCAUGGCGCCUGUGCAAAGACAACACACAAAUUAGUGAAGCGUUUCAUAAUUUU
rnacentral:snRNA from 1 species